rnacentral:lncRNA from 1 species
GCUGCUAGCUAUUUCCCUCCAGAUGACAUGAGGACCCUAUCAUCCCUGGAUCAAUUCUUAGUGUCUGUUGGAGCAGUGAAGAAAACCGUCUCAGGUCGUAAAAGAUGACAGAAAUGUACAAAUGUUUACUUAAUGUUAGUAAUGGAAAUGCAUUAGCAAGAUGAAAGCAAAGGUUUUUAAACUUGUUAGAAAGAAAUUGCAAUCAUAGCUUAAAGAGUAAUCACAGGAUUUUGGUUGAUUCUAUGCACCAUAUAUAUAAUUGAGCUCUGAGCUUGAAGCCCAGUAUAACAUUCUCGACGCUUGGUAAUACAUCUUAAUCUUAAGCAAAAGAAAUAGCAGAUGUUCGAGUCCUAUAAUUACAAGAGGUGACAUAACACCAACAUAAUAAGCCUAAAACUAUAUGACUAACAAGAUAAAUACAUCCCAGUUUAACCUCUGAAACAGUUUUUCAAGUCAAACUGCACAAGAAACCCAAGGUAGUGCAGAUGAGCUGCAUCUCAAAUAGAUAGGACUCCCAUGAAUGUAGAGCGGAGGAGAUCAAACAUGCAGCUGGUCAUCAUCUCCAUCUCCAGUUUCAUCUUCGAAGUCUAAGCCUACGAUGCUCAUCUUGCCAACGUUAACUGCAAGUUCUAGCUGUUAGGAAUGUGCCAGAGAAGAUACGAAGGGUAGAGAGAAAUCACCUCCAUGCAACAACAAAAUAUGCUUAACAUUGGAUUUGCAAAUAAAACACCAACCAGACAUUUUUAAAUUUGUAUUUGUACCUUUCCGUUGAGGAGAGAUGGCUUAAGUAGGGUCUGGAUGUAAUCUGGUCAAAUUACCACAGAGACUUGUUCGGCUGAUUCUUAAAUCAAAACCAACUCCAUUAAAGCUUCGUAUCUAAUUAAGUAGUCGCAGAGAUUUAUGCAGAAGGUCUUCAUUUAGCCAGUAUUCAGGAGGCAAAAGAAAAAAAAAUAAAGGACGCAUUAACAGGUAAAUAUCUCAAAAGAUACCCAAGGAUCACCAAGAGUUGCAGGAAAGAAGGAAAUAUAAGUCAAGCACAGUACUAUUUUGAUGAGAUCAAGACAAAAUUGUUUAUCCGUGAUAUGACAGUCUGGAAAAAUAUUUCAUCCAUUCUAAGCAUGCUGCAGAUCAUAACAGGGUCCACACUUUCAGAACAUAAUACUACAAAUUGGUGCAAAUGAUGGUGAAUUUUCCAGGUUGGAUGUUUAAUUGAGGUAAAGAUUUGAAAAACCUCCUUCCCUCUUUGUGUCCAUUAUUAGGAAAAAGAAGGUGCAGGAGAGACGGUAAACUUUGACCUGCCAUGAGGAGCAGCAGCACAGAAAAGUAUACCCAAGUCAUGAAACCUAGCAGUCAAACUGUUGUUUGAUAUACAUAGAAGAAAAUUUAUUUGACAU